rnacentral:rRNA from 1 species
CCCUUAGAUGUUCUGGGCUGCACGCGCGCUACACUGACAUACUCAGCAAGUUUCCUUGCCUGAAAGGGUUGGGUAAUCUUGUUAGUGUAUGUCGUGAUGGGGAUAGAAUAUUGUAAUUAUUGCUCUUUAACGAGGAAUUCCUAGUAAGCGCAAGUCAUCAGCUUGCGUUGAUUACGUCCCUGCCCUUUGUACACACCGCCCGUCGCUCCUACCGAUUGGGUGAUCCGGUGAAUGAUUCGGACUCUGGCUGUGCUAGCUACUAGCUACGUCAGGGAAAGUUUUGUGAACCUUAUCACUUGGAGGAAGGAGAAGUCGUAACA